UACAGGGGGGGCAAGCGUUGUUCGGAAUUACUGGGCGUAAAGGGCUCGUAGGCGGCCAACUAAGUCACACGUGAAAUCCCCAGGCUUAACCUGGGAACUGCGUGUGAUACUGGAUGGCUUGAAUUCGGGAGAGGGAUGCAGAAUUCCAGGUGUAGCGGUGAAAUGCGUAGAUAUCUGGAGGAAUACCGGUGGCGAAGGCGGCAUCCUGGACCGGCAUUGACGCUGAUGAGCGAAAGCUAGGGGAGCAAACGGG
rnacentral:rRNA from 1 species